rnacentral:rRNA from 1 species
AAGACCUUGCGCUUUUGGAGCGGCCGAMGCCUGAUUAGCUAGUUGGUGGGGUAAUGGCCUACCAAAGCUUCGAUCAGUAGCUGGUCUGAGAGGACGGCCAGCCACACUGGGACUGAGACACGGCCCAGACUCCUACGGGAGGCAGCAGUGGGGAAUUUUGGACAAUGGGCGCAAGCCUGAUCCAGCCAUGCCGCGUGAGUGAAGAAGGCCUUCGGGUUGUAAAGCUCUUUCAGCCGGGAAGAAAAGGUUGCGAUUAAUAAUCGCAAUUUAUGACGGUACCGGAAGAAGAAGCACCGGCUAACUACGUGCCAGCAGCCGCGGUAAUACGUAGGGUGCGAGCGUUAAUCGGAAUUACUGGGCGUAAAGGGUGCGCAGGCGGUUUUGUAAGUCAGAUGUGAAAUCCCCGGGCUUAACCUGGGAACU